rnacentral:lncRNA from 1 species
ACAUUAUAUAGCUCAAAUCAUAUCAUGUUCGACCAGAUUACAAAGCUUUAUGCACGGGGCAAUAUAGAAAUGUCUUUGCCCUAUCAAAGUCCAUGAUCAUUCUACUCAGAAAUCACAUUGUUCUACCAUGCCUAUGCUGUUCAAAAGAAAAGGCAGUGAAUGGCCAUACAAUGUUCAAAACACAAAAGCCAUGUGUGUUCUAAAGACAAAAGUUAGAUGCCAUCAUAUUUGCUG